AGCAGUCGCCGCGGUAAUACGUAAGGGGCAAGCGUUGUCCGGAAUCACUGGGCGUAAAGCGCACGUAGGCGGUUUGUCAAGUUGGGGGUGUAAGCUCUGGGCCUAACCCAGAAAUUGCCUCCAAAACUAGCAUACUUGAGUAUUAGAGGGGAAGCUGGAAUUCACGGUGUAGCGGUGAAAUGCGUAGAUAUCGUGGAGAACACCCGUGGCGAAGGCGGGCUUCUGGCUAAUUACUGACGCUGAGGUGCGAAAGCUAGGGGAGCGAACGGGAUUAGAUACCCCGGUAGUCCCUGUCUCUUAUAC
rnacentral:rRNA from 1 species